GCUGGGUAUGUUGGCACAUCCUGUAAUCCAUGCUACUUAGGAGGCUGAUGCAGGAGAAUUGCAAGUACCAGGCCAUCCUUGGCAACUUAGUGAGAGCCUGUCUCAA
rnacentral:sRNA from 1 species